rnacentral:lncRNA from 1 species
UUUUUCUUUUUCCCUUUUUUUUUAAUCUCCUCGCACCCUCAAAAAUCAAAUUGUGUUCUAAACUUUGGUACACCUAAAGCUGUUGUUAGAAAAUUAGUGAACGUUCUUUAUUCCUCAGUGAUGUAUUUCAUCUUCAGGUCUGGCACACAUUUUGUUGUUUUCAGACUCAACUCCACAGGAUAUUCACAGGAUAACAAAGAGAACCUGAGUAAAGAGAAUUUAAGUCCGCAUGCCAUUGACUGCUUCAUGUUCAAGACUCAGACUUUAUUAUUUGUAAAUAUUUUUUUUAAUUUAUAACUGAUUCAUAUCAUACCUUCACAGAAAUACGUUUUAGCUGCGGACAUAUAGAAAAAUAGUUCCCCUCUCCUAUGGACUGCAAUUUUUAAACUAUCCCUCUGUUUUAAGGAAGGGUGAAACUGCAAAGAUACUAGAAGCAUAACAUCUGACAUCUGCCAUGACCACUUGGGAAAUCUCUCUAUGCAAAAGGCUGAGAGCACUGACUGAUUUUAAGGAAUCUUUCCAGAGAUUUUUGCUGGCAGAGUUUAUGUCACCUGGAAGUCAGGAGACUGGAGCAGAAACAUCAGGAGUCAAUACCCUGAUAAACAACCAAAGCAGAGUGCUGGUCAUGCAUAGGGCAGCUCUGAACUGCCAAACCGCUGCUGCUGGGGUGCACUGCUUUGCCUUCCUCGGUCCUAACUAUGGCAAUUGCCAUCUUAGGGGGAUUUCUUUUACCGUCAGAGGUUUGGUACAGAGCUGCAGUCAGGUCAGAGACCCCGCAUCUGUGUUGGCAUCAGCUCUGGUGGUGUAAUGAACCCCCAAAGGGAUUGCUGGCGACAGACAUCUCACAAUCUCUAGUGCAGAGCCUGUGCAAUAUGAACCGAAAACCAGCAGCCUCCUUUAAGCAUGGCUCAUUAAUUCCCUUCCGUAGUCCACACGUCAGUAGAGAGGGGCAGACUGCACCACUGUGUGAGUAUGGACCGGGCUGCACACCUUGCCUGGGCUUUUGAUUGACCUCAACAAGCAAUCCUAGGAAACAAAAUGGAAGUAAGUUGUCCACUGUCAGUCCCAAGAGCUCAAUUCCUUCCCCAUUUAGCAGUCCUCCUCCCUGCAGCAGGGUUUGGGUUCGUUUUCUAGACACCUACAUUACUUGCUAUCUAUUUGAAGCAUCAUAUCAUAACAAAUAGAUAAAAGAAUAAUAAAAAUCAGUGGGUAAUGAUCAAUCAAUGAAAUCAAGCAUAGUGGAACC